rnacentral:lncRNA from 1 species
UGGUGAGAUCAAUUGCCAAGAGUAGGAACUUUAGUUGUGAUAAGUGUGAAGGUGUUAGGAGAGGGUUUAAUCUGGCUAGUGUAGCAGGUGAAAUGGGAGGGAACACUGUGAGGGAGGUCUACCUAACAAGGAGAAAAUUGAGAGAAAUUCAGCCAGAAUGUAGCCCUACUUUCUUCUAAAUGGAAAUACUCAUCACUGUGAGAAUAGAGACAAACAGAAUGCGAGAAAGAAAAAUACAGUAACAGUAUUUAUCUAUUUAAGCAUUUUGCAUAUAUUAACUCAUAAAACGCUAUUAGAUAAAACACUAUUAGAUAAUACAGUAUUAUUCCUAUUUUACAGAAAGAAGCUCAAAGUUGUUAAAGCAAAAGAGAGGGACCUUACUAUUUUGCCCUUGUCUGCUUCCCCAGAAUUCUUUUGCCACUUACUACUUUGAACUUUCUGCAUGAACACCAUCAAAUGGUUUUCAGUUUCAUGCCAUGAUGAGCUAUCUCUUGCCUCUGUACCUUUGGUCAUGCCAAGAUUCUCAGUCCAUGACCCCUUUUCUUGACUCCCAUCCAUUCUUUAACCCUCAGAUUCUGUUACUUUCUCACAAUUUGUGGACAUUUCUCUCACGGUGUUAAAAUAUUCUGUUUCCUUACCUUCACCUGGACUGGACUGUGGGCAGGACAUAGAUUUCGUGUCUGUGGCAUAGGGCCUGGCCAAUACUAUAUAUAUUUUUCAACUCAACCACAAAUGAGUAAAUAUCUGCGAUAACUAGGUGAACAGAAAAUUCUCAGGGAUGAGGUUUAAAAUAGGGAAAGAGGAAAGAAGUAAAAACUCGUGGCAAAAUAGAACUUGCAUACUCUUUGCUUUCAAUUUAGGCUAGGGGUCAAACCAGAACUAUAGCUGCUGGCCUAUACCGCAGCCACAGCAAUGCGGGAUCUGAACUGCGCCUGCAACCUACACCACAGCUUUCAGCAACGCCGGAUCCCCAGUCCUCUGAGAGAGGCCAGGGAUUGAACCCGCAUCUUUAUGGAUACCAGUCAGAUUCAUUUCCGCUGCACCACAGUGGGAACUCCAAGGAAAAAAACAGCAUUUAAUAUGAGUUUGUAUACUACAGUCUAAGGAGAUUUUGUAUGAGUUCUGAGCGAUAUAGGUACUCAUAGGAAUGUAUCUCCAAUUUUUCCCCAUCUUAGUUAAUGGUGUUAACUUUUAAUGAUAACCUCUGCCCUUGGGUCUGCAGAAAUUCAAAACGGUUUGGGUAUUUUGAUGUGCAGGGAAAAAAAAUGGACACUUCCAAAAAAAUUUUUUUGACCACACCCAUGGCAUGUGGAAGUUCCUGGGUCGGGGAUUAAACCUGAGCCACAACAGUGACCAGAGGUGAUGCAUGGACAACACCGGAUCCUUAAUGUGCUGUGCCAGAAGAGCACGCCUGUACACAUUAAAAAAAACCCAAAUCCUUAAGCUUUCUCUGCUUAUCUUUAGCACUUAUCUGUGGCUUUUGCAAUGCUAGCAUUACCAUAGUGAUAAAUAGGGGGUGAUGCUAUCCAUAAAGUUUCCUGCAUAGUUCAAUAAAAAUACCAGUAAUGACUAUUUUUUAUUGGUUAUGCCUGGCACCAUGCUAAGCAUUUCACAUACAUUAUUCCAAUUAAUUACAGUACCUCUAUGUUACAAAUCAGAAAUGUGAGGCCCAAGGCCACCCACUGACAGAGCCAGGAUUCUGACACCAGUAACUAUGCUCACCACACUACACAUUUGCUCUAAUUUAUUAAUUCCUUUAGGUCUUUCUCUUUCAAGUGGCUUUAGUCAAUACAGCCACUUGGGUUCUGCGCAUAUGCUGGAAAUAGCAUGGUCUGUUAAUUCUAACCCUCCACUGACUGUAUCAGGCAGUUCCUAGUUUUAAGCUCAGGCUCAAAGUGUAGACUCUUUUAUGAGAUUUCUGGCAGAAGCAGGUGAAAGGAAGAAUUCAAAACCAUUUCCUUUGUUGGGAGAGACACAUCAAGUAGUUGGGAGGGAGUGGGGCUGUUCCAUUCAGCCCUCAGUCUAGUCUCUUGGAGAGCAGCACUGAAGUCUCUCCCAUAAUUGCCUGCCUGGAAGGUGGAAAAUGGGAUAAGUGAUGUCACCGCAAAUGCAGACAUGCUGAACCCAAUAUUGCACAUCAGUGAAAUGGCUCAGGGAUUAGCUAGGCAUCCUCAACCCAUUUUCACAUUUAGUUUUCCUUCAAAGGAGAACUAUAUAAAAUAUACAACAAUAACCCAUGGCUUAUUUUAAAGUGCUUUCUUCUGACAGUCCUUAGUAGCACAUGAUUAGAGUUAAAAACCGAGAAACUAAUCCUUCUUCAGCUGCUGACCUGCAGUGUGAAAUGCAGUCAGGUAACCUACUCCAGGGCUGACCAAGGCACAGGCAUUUAUUAAGUAUCUAUUAACAGUCCAGCAUGAAUUUUUAUGCUUUGGGUAUCAAAAGAAUAUUGAAAGCUAGGUUUCAGCUUACCCUGAGCACCACACAAGUCAAAAUAAUGAAUUUCAGUGGUUAAAUGACUGGUAUAAACUACGGCAGUUGGGAUGACAAAUAAAUGAAUGACAGCUGGACUGGUCAAGCAUAGUGAGCAAUUGCUCUGACUGCCCACAAUCUACUUGUUUUUCCUCUAAUAACAUAAUACAUAUUUUGCUCUGAGAAGUCAUGCAUCCCCACUCUAAGUCCGCUUAGUUUGGGUGAUGACUAAGACAGGAAUGGGAGCAUGACUGACUAUAGCCAGUGAGAUUUUAAAAAUAUUCCUGUAUUGCCUAUGGCUGAAAGGAGACUUACACAUGGACUUUUCAGUUAGCUGAAACAAGAAAUUUCUUUUUUCUUAAGCCAGUUUGCUUUGGCUUGUUUGCUACUUGCAACCAAAAUAUUGCUAACGGGUUUUCUGCUUCUAGAUAGGGUAGACUUCUGCUUCUCAGAAGGAUACAGUAGAAGCUGACAGGGUAAUGUUCCCACUGCAACAACUUGAAACCAACAGAUAAAUUGCAAACUUCAUAUUUCUGAAUGCAUGGGGGAAAUGUAGAAGUAACAGAGAUGAGAUAAACCCUAAAUCUUGAGAGGUGAGAAGCUGACUACUCUAGUCAUUUUUCAACCUGAGUCAUCUGCCAAUUUUGAGCAUGACCUGAGAAGCAGGCUCGCUGAUGAAGCAGAACUCUGCUGGGAGUAAGAGUGACCACCUGAGCUUUUAGCAGUUACAGGGGGCUGAUAUGGCAGUUUGGAAGCUUGAAGAGACUCAAAUACUUAUUGUUUCCAGAUAGGUUCUAGAGCUGCAGGGGAACUAAGCUAAAAGCUUCUAAAAUGCAGAGUAAAUUAUCUAGAGUUUCUUGGUGCUUAGGAACUAAGAUCUGCCAGUGAGAGAGCUUGCAUCAAGAAAAUUUACUUAGGGUCUAGAGAUUGACUGAAACUUACAGAGAGCAGAGAUGGAAACCAGUACUGUUCUGGGGCUCAGGAAAUAUUUCUGACAGGGAUAUACAUGUCCCUGACAGAAUAUAUAAAUAUAUAUAUUUGUCUCUUUUUUUAGGGCUGCACCCAUGGUAUAUGGAGGUUCCCAGGCUAGCCACAACCACAGCAACACAGCUAUACCACAGCUUACAGCAACACCGGAUCCUUAACCCACUGAACGGGGCCAAGGAUAGAACCUGUGCCCUCAUGGAUGCUAGUCAGAUUCAUUUCUGCUGAGCCAUGAUGGGAAUUCCUGUCAGGGUUAUAUUAAAAAAUCUAGGAGAUUUAGGCUCUUACACCAGUGAAAAUCAGGAAUGGACUUAAUAUUAUAAAUAUUGCAAUCUAGUUUUGUUCCUAAUGAAUUUCUAAAUGGGUUAAGAUGAUUGUAUUUUGCUAUAUUUGCAUAAUUAUGAAGAAAACACUAUGGUGAAAGAUAAAAUAAUCUGGACCCUCUUUUUUUUUUAAAUUGAAGUAUAGUUGAUUCACAAUAUUGUGUUAGUUUCAGGUUAUAGCAAGGUGAUUCAGUUAUAUAUUUCUUUAGAUUAUUUUCCAUUAUAGGUUAUUAUAAGAUAUUGAAUAUAGUUCCCUGUGUUAUACAGUAAACUCUUGUUGCUUAUCUAUUUUAUGUACAGCAGUUUUUAUCUUUCAGUCCCUUAAUCCAAUUUAUCCCCCCCAUUUCCCUUAGGUAACCAUAAGUUUGUUUUCUAUACUUGUAAAACUGUUCUUUAUUUUGUAUAUAGACUCAUUUGUAUUAUAUUCAGAUUCUAAAAAUAAGUGAUAUCAUAUAAUAUUUGUUUUUCUCUGAUUUUCUUCACUUAUAAUAAUCUCUGGGUCUAUUUAUGUUGCUGCAAAUGGCAAUGUUUCAUUUUUUAUUGGUUAGUAAUAUUCCAUUGUAUAUAUGUAUGUAAAUAUACAUACAUGCAUACACAUACACAAGAUUGCUUUGGCAAUUCUGGGUCUUUGUGGUUCCAUAUAAAUUUUAGUAUUAUUUAUUCUAGUUCUGUGGAAAUACAUUAUGCGUUUUUUUGAUAGGGAUCACAUUAAAUGUGUGGUUGCUCUGGAGGUAGUAUGACCAUUUUAAGAAUAAUUCUUCCGGAGAUCCCGUCGUGGCGCAGUGGUUAACGAAUCCGAACCAUGAGGUUGUGGGUUCGGUCUCUGGCCUUGCUCAGUGGGUUAAUGAUCCUGCGUUGCCGUGAACUGUGGUGUAGCUUGUAGACGCGGCUCGGAUCCCGCGUUGCUGUGGCCCUGGUGUAGGCCCGUGGCUACAGCUCCAAUUCGACCCCUAGCCUGAGAACCUCCAUAUGCCGCGGGAGCGGCCCAAGAAAUAGCAAAAA